UACGUAGGGUGCGAGCGUUGUCCGGAAUUAUUGGGCGUAAAGAGCUCGUAGGUGGUUUGUCGCGUUGUUCGUGAAAACCGGGGGCUUAACCCUCGGCGUGCGGGCGAUACGGGCAGACUGGAGUACUGCAGGGGAGACUGGAAUUCCUGGUGUAGCGGUGAAAUGCGCAGAUAUCAGGAGGAACACCGAUGGCGAAGGCAGGUCUCUGGGCAUUAACUGACGCUGAGGAGCGAAAGCAUGGGGAGCGAACAGG
rnacentral:rRNA from 1 species